AUCAGGCCCAAUUUCCCUCUGACCCAACCCAAUCCCUCUAUUCCUCACCUCACGGGCUCUUUCUUUUCUUUCCCGUCCCUACCACGCGUCCCUAAUUCUCCAAGAACAAAGACCAUGUGCGUCUCUUCUUCUCCAUAUCAGAACGCAACAACAACAACCACCAAAUGACCUCCCAGAACUCCAAUCCCUUCAUCAAAUGACACCACAUCUCACCAUACUCUUCCAAUCCCGUACUACAUUGCAUGCCAAGCACGAGGAGAAGUACAAGAAUCUUUGUGAAGAACCACGUGCCUUCGUCUCCUCAAUUCCCCAAUUUGUAUCUUCAAAAUCCUUUCGAAAAUCUGUUACAAAUCUCUAGUUGGAGCCUUAUCUCCAAGAAUUUCUAAAGAAAUUUAUUUCUUCCACAUCGUUUUGGGAAUCAAUUUUCAAGGGUUUUGAAUCCCUAUAUAUAUAUAUACUCUCAUUCACUGUUGAGGGGCGCGGAUUGAAGUUGAGGAUUUUGGGAAGAGAACAAUAUUUCUGGCAAAUUAAAUCCAUGAAGGUUUAGGCCCAAAAAUCUCACUCUUUUUGUUCAUAAGAACUUCAUCAAAGUUUCGUCGGAGUCCAUUUUUGGUGGUGGAAUCGUCUCCAGCCAACUCGAUUUCUCAAUCCGCUGCUCCGGGAAAGGUAAACGUCUUUCUAUUCUUGAUUUGUUCUAGUUAUAUCUAUUCUUGUUUUGCCUAUAAAUACGUUAUGUGCUAAAGAUUGAAUUCAAUUUUAGUUCUUUUCCUUAGUGAUUUUUAUUCCAGUAGUUUAUCAAUUUUUUAAGUCAAAAAUGAGUUCUUUAUGUCGUUCCUGUUGCUAUCAUGUUUAAGUUUCUUGAUUCGUAUUUAAGCCUCUACUCUCUUUUGUUGUUAUUUCGAGUUUAGCUUAGUUUCUGCUUUAUUCAAUAUAGUUGUUCUUGCUUAAGUUUAAAUCAUAGAUUACGAUAUGGUUUAAGUUUAUGGGUCGCUUGAUUUUAUUUUUUAUACUCAUUUAAAUGUGGUGCAUCUCUAGUUGUUCUCCCUCUUCUGCAUAUAUUUUCUUACAAAUAAAGUUGUGUCUUUGUGUGAUUAUGUUGCUCCUUUCUCAUUUCGCUGAAAUUAUUGAAGUUUGAGGUACCGCUACUUCUUUAAUGUUUUAUCUGUUUUAUCCUGGGAGGAAAUAAUCCAUAACCUCGGGUAGAUGCACAGUGAAUUCUAUAGACUCGGAUAUUGUUUUACUUUUCAUUUUUAUUGUUUCUGGUUUGAACCCAUAUUACAAACAAGCUUAAGGAAUUUACAAUUUUUUCUGUAUUUGAGGGUUCUGGAGAUUAAAACCUUUUGGAUUUUCUGUUCUGUCUGAAUCUAAUACUGAUUUGAAGAAUAUAAAACCUUCAUCAGUGUUCAAGGUUCAUUCGGUUAACGAUUGAAAGAAUAUAAAAACUUCAUCGUUAAACUAGAAAUAAUUUGUAUAUUUCUGUUUCAUCUUAUAUUCUGUUUAAGGGCUGAAGACUAUAAUUGAAAGACUUUCUACUGCAGUGAUUAACUUGGUUCGAACAAAAUAAAAUAUUCAUCAAGUUAAUUAAGUUUUUGUUUUUCUCUGUUCGAAAAAUAUAAAAACUUCAUCGAGUUGAACAAAAAAUCUUAUUUGGUCAUUCUGUUAUUUAAUAUUACUUUUAUUUUUUCAAACAAAAUGGGAGAUACAAACGUGUCCAGGUUUGAAGCAAACACAAUGCUUUCAAUUAGUCGAACACCAGUUUCUACAGCAAUGAUUACUGCAGAAAAACCUGAAAAGUUCAUCAGUAUUGACUUCAAACGGUGGCAGCAAAAGAUGUUCAUUUAUCUAACUACCCUUAGUCUACAAUGUUUUAUCAAUGAAGAUGUUCUUUUGUUAGAGGAAGGAACUUCUAAAAAUGAAAAGUUUAAUGUGACUGAGGCAUGGAAACAUUCUGAUUUCCUUUGCAAGAACUACAUACUCAAUGGAUUGGAAGAUGACUUAUAUAACGUCUUCAAUGUUUGUAUGCUCUUGAGAAGAAAUACAAAACUGAAGAUGCAGGCUUGAAGAAGUUUAUGACUGUAAAAUUUUUGGAUGAUAAGAUGGUUGAUAUUAAGACUGUCAUUUCUCAAGUCCAAGAACUACAAGUCAUUAUUCAUGAUCUCCUAGUAGAAGAUAUGAUUAUAAACGAGACAUUUCAAGUAGCAGCAUUGAUUGAGAAACUGUCUCCUUUAUGGAAAGACUUCAAAAAUUAUUUGAAGCACAAGUGAAAGGAGAUGACUCUUAAAGACUUUAUUGUUCGCCUAAGGAUCGAGGAAGACAACAAGGCUGUUGAGAAGAAGGCUAAAGAAAACUCAACAAUUAUGGGAGCAAAUAUAGUUGAGGAUGGUCCAACUAAAUCAAAAAAAAAGGAAGAAACCUUCUGGAUCGAAGAACUAUCCUAGUAAAAAGAAGUUCAAAGAAGACUGCCACAAUUGUGAAAAAUUGGACAUAAAGAUGUGGAAUGUCGUGCUCCCAAGAAGGAAAAGAAAAGAGGUCAAUCUAACAUGGUUAAUACAAAUGGGGAUGUUGAAGACUUAUAUGCAAUGCUGACUGAAUGUAACCUAGUAGGAAAUCCUAAAGAAUGGUGGCUUGAUUCUGGAGCCACGUCAUAUGUUUGCGCUGUCCAAGAAGCCUUCGCUACUUAUUCCUCUGCUGCACCUGAUGAGACUAUCUAUAUGGAAAAUUUUGCAACAACAAAGGUGGAAGGAUAUGGUAGACUAUUCCUGAAAAUGACCUCUGGCAAGGUGGUGACUCUGAACAAAGUUUUUCAUGUUCCAGAAAUAAGAAAGAAAUUGGUUUCUUCUGA